UACAGAGGUCUCAAGCGUUUGUUCGGAUUCAUUGGGCGUAAAGGGUGCGUAGGCGGCGCGGUAAGUCGGGUGUGAAAUCUCGGGGCUUAACUCCGAAACUGCAUUCGAUACUGCCGUGCUUGAGGACUGGAGAGGAGACUGGAAUUUACGGUGUAGCGGUGAAAUGCGUAGAUAUCGUAAGGAAGACCAGUGGCGAAGGCGGGGU
rnacentral:rRNA from 1 species